AAUAGCUGCCGAAGACAGCAGGUGCCGUAAGGCAUAAGGAUCAAAACGCCUGCCGAGGAAAGAUUCAUUCUUAAACAGAUAAGAUGGAUAAGACCUCUUUGUCUUUUGGACAAAGAGGUUUUCUUA
rnacentral:sRNA from 1 species